AUUGAACGCUGGCGGCAUGCUUUACACAUGCAAGUCGAACGGUAACAGGCCUUCGGGUGCUGACGAGUGGCGAACGGGUGAGUAAUGCAUCGGAACGUGCCCAAUCGUGGGGGAUAACGUAGCGAAAGUUACGCUAAUACCGCAUACGACCUACGGGUGAAAGUGGGGGACCUUCGGGCCUCACGCGAUGAGAUGAGCCGAUGCCGGAUUAGCUAGUUGGCGGGGUAAAGGCCCACCAAGGCGACGAUCCGUAGCUGGUCUGAGAGGAUGAUCAGCCACACUGGAACUGAGACACGGUCCAGACUCCUACGGGAGGCAGCAGUGGGGAAUAUUGGACAAUGGGGGCAACCCUGAUCCAGCCAUGCCGCGUGUGUGAAGAAGGCCUGCGGGUUGUAAAGCACUUUCAGUGGGGAAGAACAGAUUCGGGUCAAUACCCCGGAGCCCUGACGUUACCCACAGAAGAAGCACCGGCUAACUCCGUGCCAGCAGCCGCGGU
rnacentral:rRNA from 1 species